CUUGCGAACUACAAGAAAUUUCAGCGUCUUUUGCAGCUAUUUUGGGGCAAGAAACAAGUCAGUUCAACGUUAGUACCUUGAAUUCCGUCAGUUCAUUCAAGGCAGACUUGCGUUUCUUUGAAGUUGGCGAAGCAAGGCAGUGGUUUAAGUUCGACCUCGUGGAUUUAUGGAUGUCGUUUUAUCACGAAACUCCUCGCGGACAGUAGCAAGCGCAGGAUGAAAAUAAGCAGUUAAAUUGAAGGAAAGAAAAAGGUUAACAUCUAAAAAGCUUACUUACGCGUAUUACACGAACUGAAGAAACUCAAAGGAAGACAGCACAACAGAAUAACUUCCAACAAGUUAACGAUCUGCCAAUUACGUUGGGUUGGUCUGCAUUAAACGAUUACACCUUGAUUAAACGAACGUCUGCAACUUUCAAAUGUAAG